AUGCGAUAAGUAAUGUGAAUUGCAGAAUUCAGUGAAUCAUCGAAUCUUUGAACGCACCUUGCGCUCCUUGGUAUUCCGAGGAGCAUGUCUGUUUGAGUGUCAUUAAAUUCUCAACCUUACCAGUUUCUUGCUGUGUAAUGGCUUGGAUGUGGAGGUUUUUGCAGGUCCAUACUUACUUGGUCUGCUCCUCUGAAAUGAAUUAGCUGGGUUCAGUUUUGACCUGUCUAUUGGUGUGAUAAUUAUCUACAUCAUUGGCGGUUAUGCUUCAAAAACCUGCUUCUAAUCGUCUGUAAUGGACAACUAUUGACAUUUUUGACCUCAAAUCAGAUAAGACUACCCGCUGAACUUAA
rnacentral:misc_RNA from 1 species